UCCCACGUGGUCUAGUGGUUAGGAUACCUGGCUCUCACUCAAGAGGCCUGGGUUCGAUUCCCGGCGUGGGAA